AAAAAGGGUCGGUUGGCUAAAUAUGCCACGCCCACCCUCGUCUGGUGGGUGCUGUAUGGCUAUCAAGACAUAUGGCCGACAUAAUUUGUGGGAACACCUGGAGCUGGUAAACUUAACCCGAAUCCGAUUAUCCGAAUCGAUUUAUCCAAUUCAAUA